rnacentral:rRNA from 1 species
AGCGAACGCUGGCGGCAGGCCUAACACAUGCAAGUCGAACGAAGCCUUCGGGCUUAGUGGCGGACGGGUGAGUAACACGUGGGAACGUACCUUUUGGUUCGGAACAACUCAGGGAAACUUGAGCUAAUACCGGAUGAGCCCUUAGGGGGAAGGAUUUAUCGCCGAAAGAGCGGCCCGCGUUAGAUUAGCUAGUUGGUGAGGUAAAGGCUCACCAAGGCUACGAUCUAUGGCUGGUCUGAGAGGAUGAUCAGCCACACUGGGACUGAGACACGGCCCAGACUCCUACGGGAGGCAGCAGUGGGGAAUCUUGCGCAAUGGGCGAAAGCCUGACGCAGCCAUGCCGCGUGAAUGAUGAAGGUCUUAGGAUUGUAAAAUUCUUUUACCAGGGACGAUAAUGACGGUACCUGGAGAAAAAGCCCCGGCUAACUUCGUGCCAGCAGCCGCCGUAAAAC